rnacentral:tRNA from 1 species
GGGGACGUAGCUCAAUUGGGAGAGCAACUGCUUUGCACGCAGUCGGUUAGGGGUUCGACUCCCCUCGUUUCCA